rnacentral:rRNA from 1 species
GACGAACGCUGGCGGCGUGCCUAACACAUGCAAGUCGAGCGAGUGAAUCUCCAUCGGGAGUGGAUUAGCGGCGGGCGGGUGAGUAACACGUGGGUAACCUGCCUCAUAGAGGGGAAUAGCCUUCCGAAAGGAAGAUUAAUACCGCAUAAGAUUGUAGUACCGCAUGGUAUAGCAAUUAAAGGAGCAAUCCGCUAUGAGAUGGACCCGCGUCGCAUUAGCUAGUUGGUGAGGUAACGGCUUACCAAGGCGACGAUGCGUAGCCGACCUGAGAGGGUGAUCGGCCACAUUGGGACUGAGACACGGCCCAGACUCCUACGGGAGGCAGCAGUGGGGAAUAUUGCACAAUGGGGGAAACCCUGAUGCAGCAACGCCGCGUGAGUGAUGACGGUCUUCGGAUUGUAAAGCUCUGUCUUCAGGGACGAUAAUGACGGUACCUGAGGAGGAAGCCACGGCUAACUACGUGCCAGCCGCCGCGGUAA